AUUGAACGCUGGCGGCAGGCCUAACACAUGCAAGUCGAGCGGAUGAGAGGAGCUUGCUCUUUGAUUCAGCGGCGGACGGGUGAGUAAUGCCUAGGAAUCUGCCUGGUAGUGGGGGACAACGUUUCGAAAGGAACGCUAAUACCGCAUACGUCCUACGGGAGAAAGUGGGGGAUCUUCGGACCUCACGCUAUCAGAUGAGCCUAGGUCGGAUUAGCUAGUUGGUGAGGUAAUGGCUCACCAAGGCGACGAUCCGUAACUGGUCUGAGGGGAUGAUCAGUCACACUGGAACUGAGACACGGUCCAGACUCCUACGGGAGGCAGCAGUGGGGAAUAUUGGACAAUGGGCGCAAGCCUGAUCCAGCCAUGCCGCGUGUGUGAAGAAGGUCUUCGGAUUGUAAAGCACUUUAAGUUGGGAGGAAGGGCAGUAACUAAUACGUUGCUGUUUUGACGUUACCGACAGAAUAAGCACCGGCUAACUCUGUGCCAGCCGCCGCCGUAACAC
rnacentral:rRNA from 1 species